rnacentral:rRNA from 1 species
UACAGAGGGGGCAAGCGUUAUUCGGAAUUAUUGGGCGUAAAGGGCGCGUAGGCGGCAUGGCAAGUGGAUGGUGAAAUCCCUCGGCUUAACCGAGGAACUGCCGUCCAAACUGCUUCGCUUGAGACCGGGAGAGGUGAGUGGAAUUCCCAGUGUAGCGGUGAAAUGCGUAGAUAUUGGGAGGAACACCAGUGGCGAAGGCGGCUCACUGGACCGGUACUGACGCUGAAGCGCGAAAGCUAGGGGAGCGAACGGG